UACGGAGGGUGCAAGCGUUGUCCGGAAUCACUGGGCGUAAAGGGCGCGUAGGCGGCCUGGUAAGUAGGGGGUGAAAUCCUGCGGCUUAACCGCAGGGCUGCCUUCUAAACUGUCAGGCUUGAGCACGGUAGAGGCAGAUGGAAUUCCCGGUGUAGCGGUGGAAUGCGUAGAGAUCGGGAAGAACACCAGAGGCGAAAGCGGCGACCUGGACAGGCACUGACACUCAACUACGAAAGCGUGGGGAGCAAACAGG
rnacentral:rRNA from 1 species